AAUAAGCUAUUUAAGAGCGUAAGGUGGAUGCCUUGGCUCUCAGAGGCGAUGAAGGACGUGAUAAGCUGCGAUAAGCUACGGGGAUUGGCACACACAAUUUGAUCCGUAGAUUUCCGAAUGGGGCAACCCACUAUAUUGAAGAUAUAGUAUCCGUUAAGGAAGCAAACCCAGGGAACUGAAACAUCUAAGUACCUGGAGGAAUAGAAAACAAAAGUGAUUCCGCUAGUAGUGGCGAGCGAACGCGGAACAGCCCAAACCAAAAUUGUUUCGGCAAUUUUGGGGUUGUAGGACCACGACAUUGAAUGUUUAAUGAAUUAGAAUUCUUUUGGAAAAAGAAACCAUAGAGGGUGAUAGUC
rnacentral:rRNA from 1 species